CGCCAGACUCCUACGGGAGGCAGCAGUGGGGAAUAUUGCACAAUGGGGGAAACCCUGAUGCAGCGACGCCGCGUGAGUGAGGAAGUAUUUCGGUAUGUAAAGCUCUGUCAGCAGGGAAGAAAGAAAUGACGGUACCUGACCAAGAAGCCCCGGCUAACUACGUGCCAGCAGCCGCGGUAAUACGGGGGAUGCAAGCGUUGUCCGGAAUCAUUGGGCGUAAAGAGUUCGUAGGUGGCACGUUAAGUCUGGUGUUAAAUGCAGAGGCUCAACCUCUGUUCGGCACUGGAUACUGGCGAGCUUGAAUGCGGUAGAGGUAAAGGGAAUUCCUGGUGUAGCGGUGAAAUGCGUAGAUAUCAGGAGGAACAUCGGUGGCGUAAGCGCGUUACUGGGCCGUAAUUGACACUGAGGAACGAAAGCCAGGGUAGCAAAUGGGAUUAGAUACCCCCGUAAG
rnacentral:rRNA from 1 species